GAAAUGCGAUAAGUAAUGUGAAUUGCAGAAUUCAGUGAAUCAUCGAAUCGUUGAACGCACAUUGCGCCCGGCAGUAAUCUGCCGGGCAUGCCUGUCCGAGCGUCAUUUCUGCCCUCGAGCGCUGUCCGCCCUAGCCGGCGGGCCGCCGCCUCGGUGUUGGGGCGCCACGGGGGAGCCCUAGCGCUCCCCCGCGGGCCCCGAAAUGAAGUGGCGGCCCCGCCGCGGCGCCCCCUGCGUAGUAGUCUCACAGCUCGCAUCGGGUCCCGGCGGAGGCCUGCCGUCAAGCCCUCACUCACGAUGGUUUGACCUCGGGUCAGGUAGGGUUACCCGCUGAACUUAA
rnacentral:misc_RNA from 1 species